GACGAACGCUGGCGGCGUGCUUAACACAUGCAAGUCGAACGGAAAGGCCCCUUUGGGGGUACUCGAGUGGCGAACGGGUGGGUAACACGUGAGUAACCUGCCCUUGACUUCGGGAUAACUUCAGGCAACUGGGGCUAAUACCGGAUAGGAAUCCUUGCUGCAUGGUGGGGGUUGGAAAGCUACGGCGGUUUUGGAUGGACUCGCGGCUUAUCUGCUUGUUGGUGGGGUAGUGGCUUACCAAGGCUUUGGCGGGUAGGCGGCCUGAGAGGGCGACCGGCCACAAUGGGACUGGGAUUCGGCCCCGACUCCUACGGGGGGCAGCAGGGGGGAAUAUUGCACAAUGGGCGGAAGCCUGAUGCAGCAACGCCGCGUGCGGGAUGACGGGCUUCGGGUUGUAAACCGCUUUCAGCAGGGGCGAAGCUUGUGGUGACGGUACCUGCAGAAGAAGCACCGGCUAACUACGUG
rnacentral:rRNA from 1 species